AGCAAGAUGAUGAGAUUUUUGUUUGAAUCCGAAGCCCCGUGAGGAGCUGAAAUAUCAACAGAAUGGUCUUCAAAGUUCUCUGAUUGCU